rnacentral:hammerhead_ribozyme from 1 species
AUCCAGCUGAUGAGUCCAAAAUAGGACGAAACGUACGUCCUGGAU